CAGUCGCCGCGGUAAUACGAAGGGUGCAAGCGUUAAUCGGAAUUACUGGGCGUAAAGCGUGCGUAGGUGGUGGUUUAAGUCCGUUGUGAAAGCCCUGGGCUCAACCUGGGAAUUGCAGUGGAUACUGGGUCACUAGAGUGUGGUAGAGGAUAGUGGAAUUUCCGGUGUAGCAGUGAAAUGCGUAGAGAUCGGGAGGAACAUCAGUGGCGAAGGCGGCCAUCUGGGACAACACUGACGCUGAGGCACGAAAGCGUGGGGAGCAAACAGGAUUAGAUACCCCAGUAGUCCCUGUCUCUUAUAC
rnacentral:rRNA from 1 species